rnacentral:rRNA from 1 species
GCUCCUAGUACGAGAGGACCGGAGUGGACGCAUCACUGGUGUUCGGGUUGUCAUGCCAAUGGCACUGCCCGGUAGCUAAAUGCGGAAGAGAUAAGUGCUGAAAGCAUCUAAGCACGAAACUUGCCCCGAGAUGAGUUCUCCCUGAGACUAUAAGUCUCCUGAAGGAACGUUGAAGACGACGACGUUGAUAGGUCGGGUGUGUAAGCGCAGCGAUGCGUUGAGCUAACCGAUACUAAUGAACCGUGAGGCUUAACCUU